UACGUAGGGACCAAGCGUUGUCCGGAAUCAUUGGGCGUAAAGCGCGCGUAGGCGGCUCGGAAAGUCGGGCGUGAAAUGCCGGGGCUCAACCCCGGGACUGCGUCCGAUACUUCCGAGCUGGAGGUAGGUAGGGGAGAUCGGAAUUCCUGGUGUAGCGGUGAAAUGCGCAGAUAUCAGGAGGAACACCGGUGGCGAAGGCGGAUCUCUGGGCCUUACCUGACGCUGAGGCGCGAAAGCUAGGGGAGCGAACAGG
rnacentral:rRNA from 1 species